GUAAGACCAGCUACCACCAUGAACAAAUCAGUCACAUUUGAUUUUGGAAGCUAAACAGGGUCAGGCUUCGUUAGGUCUUGAAUGGGAGACCACUUGGCCCUAGGGAAGAAUUCUUCCU
rnacentral:rRNA from 1 species